UCGGAAAAAGAGGGCUUGGGGAAUUUGGGGAAGUACUUAAAGGAAACACCUGUGAAAAAGAAGGAAAAAAGAUCAAGGAAGCGUUCGGAAGAAGUGGAGAAAAGUUAGUUUGGACAGAGUAUCAUAGUCGCCUUCUUGAAACGAGCGAUGAAAUCAUGAAGGAAGGAGGCGGGCGAGGGAGCGAUGAUUGUAAUUUGUUUCUAAAAUCGAACUAGUAAAAUUAGCAACAGCAGUUCUUGCGAAAUAAAAAAGAAUGUGAAAAACAGCUUCCCCUCCAACGGGUUCUGUACGUGAAGGGGGGAAGGCAGGAUGAGGAAAGGUUCCAACGUCGCGACGCACCGUUUCAUUAAAGUUGCCAUGUGGACUCGUGUACGCGGUGGGUACCCCAACCCGUGUGCAAAUAGCAUUUUUCCUAUAGGUACUUGCCGCUAGUUACCUGUUGCGGAAUCGUUGACGUCACGUGAGUCAAUAUAUUAUAAUAUAUUAAAAAAUGAAAAUCCAUUAAAACUGCAUUUCAAAUAUGAUGAAAUCUGCAAAAAGGAGCCACGAGCACCAAAAUCCAUCCCUCUCUGAAGAACCGCACGAAAAUCACUGUCGGACCCCAUCCCAAUAGAUUGUUCAGCUACCAACCAAAUUCUUCGUUUGUUUUUGCAUUUCUACAUUCCCGGUAGGUUUUUGAACUCCAGUUUGAGCUAAAAAAUGCAGGUAUUGUAGAUGGGUAUGCAACUUUGUUGAAUGCCCGCUCCUCUCUGCUCGAUCUACUGUUGAAAUGUUCAUCUCUUCUCAUCAUGGAAAAAGGGGAAGAACACCCAUCUCUGCUAACACCAUCUUGCUCAAAUCCCUCAACUACGAUGUGUUAUAUUUUUUUAAAAAUUUGUAGGACUGUGUUGGGUUGAUAUUUAUGGAUUUUGUACAUGAAUAACUUGUGUAAUAACACGUUAGGGCAUACCAUCAACUUUUAUAAAUUUCGAAAAUUACAUGCACAUGCACAGGUACUAUGGAGAACUUCCUGCAUGGUCACCAGCUUUUCUAGAACAUCCAGAUGGCUACCAAUAUCCAAGCAACAUUCAAGAGGUGAUAUAACUGUGUUGAAUUUUUUUUAUAAGUUGGUUUUUUUUUUAAAACAAGAUUAAUGUCAUAGAUUUUUUGUUCUUUUAGCACAAUGCUGGAUACCCAACUCCUCUCAUGACUACUGGAUUCACCGCGAGCGAAAGAGUUGAUAUAGAAGAAACAUUCGAUUGUACGGAAACUGAUAUUCCAUGUACCUCCGUUAGAGUUGAAGAAAACAAUGAAAAUAGACCAGAUUUAGUAGAAACCGAGGAUGGAAUUGUCGAGACACCUUAGGUAGAGGAUGAAAUUGGUGGUGAUACGAUUGAGGAGCUAAAGUCAAAGAUGGAGUUUGAUUAUUUUGAAGAAGUAAUGACUUAUAAUAAGCAGUAUGUUAAGAAAUGUGGAUUUGAGGUGAUGACAAGAAUGACUGAGAAUGGAGAUGAUGGGACUGUCAGAUAUGCCACCCUCGGUUUUGCCCGUGGUGGGAAGGCUCGUAAUAGGACGUUGAAUGUUGCCAGACCACGUCCAACAGGAAAAACAGAAUGUAAGGCAAAGAUUAAUUUCUUAAAAGUUGACUGAAAGUUUCAGUUGACAACAAUUCAUAAUAUUCAUAACCAUGGCCUCAGUCCAAAAAAAUCCCGCUUCUUUUGAUGUAAUAGACAAGUGAGUUACUCCGUAAAAAGAGUCUUAGAUACAAAUGAUCUGGCUGGCAUCUGAAUGAAUAAGAGUUUCGGAUCUCUGGUCGUUGGCGCGGGAGGUUUUGAGAACCUCCCGUUUUUUUAAAAUGAUUAUCGCAAUUACAUCGAUAAGGCAAGACAUCUAUGACUUGGCGCUGGUGGUGCUGGAGCGCUUCGAGAAUAUUUUUUACGGAUGCAAUACAAAAAUCUUGGGUUCUUUGCAUUGAUAAAUUCAGAUGAUGAUGAGAGGUUAAAGAAUGUCUUCUGAGUAGAUCCUCGUAGUAGGACAGCCUACCAAGAUUUCGGUGAUGUGGUUACAUUCGACACCACAUAUAUGAUGAAUAGAUAUGAGAUGCCAUUUGCACAAUUUGUUGGUAUAAACUACCAUGACCAAUCAAUUCUUUUGGAAGCAUAAUUGAUAUCUAGUGAGGAUAUAGCAACGUUUGUGUGGUUAUUCAAGACCUGGUUACAGUGUAUGGAUGGUAUAGCUUCAAAAGCUAUUAUCACAGAUCAGGACAAGCAAUGAAGAAUGCUAUUGUUAUUGUCUUUCUAAAAAGUUGACAUCGAUUUUGUUUGUAGCAUAUACUAAAGAAAGCCAUUGAAAAGCUUGCCUCCUAUGUUGCCUACAAAAUUGGGAUCAAUAAUGCAUUGAUGAAAUGUGUAUAUGACACCCAAAGUGUUGAAGAGUUUGAAAAAAGUUGGGAUUAGUUAAUCACCACUUACAACUUGCAGGAGAAUGCUUGGCUGCAAAGUUUAUACACUAAGCAUGAGCACUGGGUAUCGGCGUUCUUGAAAUAUUUCUUUUUUUUUUUGGCGGGGAUGAGUACAACGCAACGAAGUGAGAGCAUGAAUGAUUUUUUUGACAGUUAUGUUCACGCUAAGACAAACUUGAAAGAGUUUGUCAAUCAGUUUGACAAUGCAUUGGAAAAGAAAUUUGAAAAUGAAAAUAGCGUUGACUUCCACUCAUUUAGUAUCACCAUUCCCUACAUAUAUAGAUCUCCAAUCAAAAAUCGGUUUCAAGAAUUGUAUAUGAAUGCAAAAUUCAGGGAAGUUUAGCGAGAACUUACAUGUCUUAUAGAUCUGGAUCCAGAGUUACUUAAUAGAGAUGGUGCAAUAAAGACGUAUCUGGUAGAGGAUGAAGUUCAUGUGGAAGAAUUCACAAAACUAGUUAAAUAUUCAGUGGACUUUAGUGAGGUGGAUACAGCUGCAAAGUGUUCGUGUGGGUUAUUUCAGAUGAGGGGUAUAUUGUACAGGCAUAUUUUGGCUAUAUUCAAAUGUAACGGUAUAAAAUCUUUGCCAAAUUAGUAUAUUUUAGAGAGAUGGAGGAAGGACAUCAAGAGGAGGUAUACGUUAAUCGAUAGAAGCUAUGACGCAGGGGCUCAUCGGCAAAUGCUAACAGAUAUUCAACUCUAUUGAAUAUCUGUUAUAAGAUGAUUACUCAUGCAGCGGGUUUGAGAAAACAUAUUGAGGAUGCAACACAAAAAUUGUAUGCAAUGAUUGAGUUAUAUAGUGACAACCAAGAACCUCCAUUAGGAACAUGCACGGGUUCCAAUGUUGUUCUUUGUACGACACAGGAUGCAGCUACAGGUGGUGGUUCACAUAAAGUACUCAGUCCACUAGUAGUAAAAGGCAAAGGCAGACCAUCAUCUUUGAGGAGAGCAUCCAUAAUGUCGAAAGAUGUGCGGAAAAUUAAAGCGAAGGUGAAGAAAGCGCCAGUCAAGGAAAAACGUAAACAGAGAGAUGGAGGAGAUACACCAUUGCCGAACACGUGCAGGAAUUUAUUUGGCCCAUCAGAGAUAGACAUGUCCAAUGCUAGCUUAUUGUAGGUAUAUUAAUUUCCUAAAAUGUAUAAUGGAGCUGUUAUACUUUUUUUGAUGUUUACUUAUUGCUGCCAAUAAUUUUUUUUUUUUACGUUUGUUAUGUUAUCACCAACCUGUUGAAGAUAGCUCAGUUGUUGACAUUAGUCGAACCUAGCGCUGAGAAUCAAUGAUUGGGAGUCAA